UACGAAGGGUGCAAGCGUUACUCGGAAUUACUGGGCGUAAAGCGUGCGUAGGUGGUUUGUUAAGUCUGUUGUGAAAGCCCCGGGCUCAACCUGGGAAUGGCAAUGGAUACUGGCAAGCUAGAGUGCGGUAGAGGGUAGUGGAAUUCCCGGUGUAGCGGUGAAAUGCGUAGAGAUCGGGAGGAACACCAGUGGCGAAGGCGGCUCCCUGGACCGACAUUGACGCUGAGGCGCGAAAGCGUGGGGAGCAAACAGG
rnacentral:rRNA from 1 species